CCUAAGAGAUACGUGUUAUGUGCAGUGCUCACACAGAUUGUCUGAUGAAGAACGAGCAAAAGCGCGUCUGCGAAGCUGACAAAAGUCCCCUUCGUCUAGAGGCCUAGGACACCGCCCUUUCACGGCGGUAACAGGGGUUCGAAUCCCCUAGGGGACGCCAAUGCGCGGUAUGAGUGAAAGGCGUACCACUUAUCUGACGAGAGUCAGAGAAUAACUAAGCUAAUUCAAAUGAGUUAUCUUACUUAUUAUGCUCUUUAACAAUCUGGAACAAGCUGAAAAAUUGAAAACAAAUCAAUAUAUCAACGAGAUAUAUUGGUGAGUCUCUCAAAAUCUCAAAUCUGAAAAGUACUCUUCAGAAAGGAUAUGCGAGCAAAAUGAUUUCAAGGCGGACAGCGCACAGCAAGCGCAGCAUACUUAAAGUAUGUGAGCAUUGCGAGCACUGCCCAACACAGAAAUUAUGAAGCGCAGCAAUCCGUUUUAAAAGACACUUUCGGGUUGUGA
rnacentral:misc_RNA from 1 species